GCUAGACCAUGGCACCGAGGAAAGAUCACAAGAAUAAGAGUCCCGCGGCUGGAGGAAAGUCCUCCACAACAUAGUUCUUGCAUCCUCUUCACCCCUCAGUCUGAAGCAAAGAGAUCCUCCAUGAAGAGAAAAGAACCUCUGAAGAGGUUAAGCAUGGCUGGACAAACUAUGGAGUAAAAUCAUGAGUGCUUCCUGGGUUCCUUCCCCUGCUCUCCAUUUCCUUCCCCUUUUGCUAACUCCCUUAGAUAUAUUGAAACAAGUGGCUCGCAUAGUGGGAUCCUGAACAGCAGAAGAGGGGCCAUUUGCUCAAGAUCCUUUGAUAUUAAGCAGCUUGCUGCUGCAGCUCAUGUUGAAAGAAGAAGAGCACAAGACAGACAGAAGACCUUUGGAGUGAUUGAAUGACCCUUUCACAAGGGUCUCCUAAGACCAUCCCAAAACAGUUUUUCUGGCAUAGGCUGUCUGGUUCUAUUAUUCCGUCAAGGGGAGACCGUAAAGGAGGGAAGACUGAAUGUAUCCAUAACCAUUUCGUCAGGUUUUCUGUGCUUGCUUAAGUCACGAAUGCAACUGAUAAGCAACCCUCUUCAUUUCAAUAAACCAGUGGAG